CUUUCAACAACGGAUCUCUUGGUUCUGGCAUCGAUGAAGAACGCAGCGAAAUGCGAUAAGUAAUGUGAAUUGCAGAAUUCAGUGAAUCAUCGAAUCUUUGAACCCACAUUGC
rnacentral:rRNA from 1 species